ACCGGAUUGAGAGGAGUGAUAACCUAGCAGAGAGCAGGCUACAAUGUGUUGAUACGCGUCCUUGUUUAUUAAGCCCGAGCGUAGACGCCGAGUGAGAAGAUCUCCUUAAAGGAUGGUGAUACUGCUGACUGAAAGCUCAUAAAAUAACACAGCCAAGUGAAUAAGGCUCAGCUCUGCACUAUGUGUUGUCACUCCGUGAGGUCAAGAAAAUGGCAGCAGAUUGUGUGAAGCACCAAUCAGGGAGUUC